rnacentral:lncRNA from 1 species
GUGGAAAGCUUGGGAGACAGCAGUUACAACUCACAAGGCAACAGGAGGAAGAGGACAUAUGAAAACAUUUCACAGAGGGCAGGCAGGCUCAGCCCCUUUUGCCCAGAAAAGGCUGUAUGAGAUUAGAAGAAGUCUUUGCAAGAAACAGAUGAAGCGAAUGACUUGGAUGCUGGGUGGUCAGAGCACGGAGAAGUCAAGAUGUCUCAAAGAAGAUACAUAGAAGAUUCCCAUCUGAAAAAGGAAUGAACCAAUAUCUCUCCACCCUUAACUGACUGCCAACUUCAAUCCAAAAGAGAUCAGUGAACCAGCCAGUGAAAAAUAUUCCAUGAAUAUCAGUUGUCUUUAAAACUGGUUCACAUGGGAGCUGGUUCAACUGAUUAGGAGGUGAAAUUACAGACAACAAUAAAACAGUUAGGUAUAGCUUGAAUUAAGCCACAUCCAGAUCGUAGGAGAAUGGUUGUGCCAAUGAAAAGAAGACAACCAUGGGUAAAAAUGCACAGCCCAGUUCCUGGCCAGUAGCUGGAGCCUCAUAUAUAUAGCAUCUUCAACAUUCGUAAAUAGUCCCUCACACAGAACUCUAUAUAUUUCACUUAUUGUAUAUUUUAGGUGCCAUGUUCACACCACCUUGAUCCGUAUAAAAC